GCAAAACAAUAGUUUCACCCGUUGUAAUCUUAGCAGUUGUGUCAGAGCUUGUGACAACUGCUGUAAGGCCGGCGGGACAGUAAUGUUUACAAUAUUAGACUGUCAACGGUAAUUAAGUUUUAUGCCGAUGAUUUAAUUUGGAACACACAUUAAUUAAUUUUUUGAAACGCACUGUUUUGUCAAUA